CGGCGAGUGAAGCGGCAACAGCUCAAAUUUGAAAUCUGGCCCUUUCAGGGUCCGAGUUGUAAUUUGUAGAGGGCGCUUUGGUGUUGGCUGCGGUCUAAGUUCCUUGGAACAGGACGUCACAGAGGGUGAGAAUCCCGUACGUGGUCGACAGUCUCCACCGUGUAAAGCCCCUUCGACGAGUCGAGUUGUUUGGGAAUGCAGCUCUAAAUGGGAGGUAAAUUUCUUCUAAAGCUAAAUAUUGGCCAGAGACCGAUAGCGCACAAGUAGAGUGAUCGAAAGAUGAAAAGCACUUUGGAAAGAGAGUCAAAAAGCACGUGAAAUUGUUGAAAGGGAAGCGCUUGCAAUCAGACUUGCCUGUAGUUGCUCAUCUAGGCUUUUGCCUGGUGCACUCUUCUGCGGGCAGGCCAGCAUCAGUUCAGGCGGCUGGAUAAAGACCUCUAUCACGUAUCUUCCUUCGGGAUGACCUUAUAGGGGAGGUGUAAUGCAGCCAGCCUGGAUUGAGGUCCGCGCAUUCGCUAGGAUGCUGGCGUAAUGAUUGUAAGCGGCCCGUCUUGAAACACGGACCAAGGAGUCUAACAUCUAUGCGAGUGUUUGGGUGUCAAGCCCGGACGCGCAAUGAAAGUGAACGGAGGUGGGAACCCUCACGGGUGCACCAUCGACCGAUCCUGAUGUCUUCGGAUGGAUUUGAGUAAGAGCAUAGCUGUUGGGACCCGAAAGAUGGUGAACUAUGCCUGAAUAGGGUGAAGCCAGAGGAAACUCUGGUGGAGGCUCGCAGCGGUUCUGACGUGCAAAUCGAUCGUCAAAUUUGGGCAUAGGGGCGAAAGACUAAUCGAACUAUCUAGUAGCUGGUUCCUGCCGAAGUUUCCCUCAGGAUAGCAGUAACGUUUUCAGUUUUAUGAGGUAAAGCGAAUGAUUAGAGGCCUGGGGGUUGAAACAACCUUCACCUAUUCUCAAACUUUAAAUAUGUAAGAAGUCCUU
rnacentral:rRNA from 2 species